AGUUUUUGUACCUUCCGCUUUCAUGGCAAGCAAAUCAUCCAAAUCCACGUAUUUCGAUUCUUCCUGUUGCGUCCCAGGAUUACAAAGACCCUUGUCGGACUGGAGCUUUCUGUAAGGACUGGUGUCUCCUCGGCCUGCUGAAGUCCAGAUGAUGCCACUUGCUGUGUUGGAUUUGAUUGGACCCUCCCCCAACUCUGCCCUCACACAUCCCUCGAGUGCCCAAAAGCGUCGGACUACCACAGAGAAGACAACCACCUGCUGGACUGUAGGAAAAAAACUCGACAUACACCCCAGGUGACGUGUUCAGUCACGGGAAUUUGAGUGGGUUGACAUCAUCUUGUUCCACAUGAUGGCAAAUGGGCGUCAUAGGAAAUGUAAAUCUUGGGUGUCGUGAUUCAUGAGAAAUGCCAAGUUGAUCCCAGAGGCUGGUGCAAAUAUGUGAAAGGUAACUCACUCUGUGAGGGGCUCGUGGCUCUUGGUCGGAUGGAUCAUCUGCACUUGACCCUUUGACUCAGCCAUAGUUCGCAGUUCUGAGCGAAACUAUAGAAGCCGUAGAACAACACGGUCAGGGCUGCAUUUACACGUGAGAGUGUGGUGCGUUGGGUCUCACGUAACAGCCUGAAAUAAUGCAGCUCUGAAUCUGGGCUUUACAAACUCCCAGUCUCUUACAAUGGACCCCACAAAUUUGUUUACUGAUUUUUUUUUUUUAAGCGUUACUUUUCUCGGACAUGUGACACCACCCGAGAGCUCGUGCCAAGGGUGGAGAAGUGCAUCGACCAGUCAUGGGCCAAUAUCACCAUACUUGUCACCCGGAAAAUAUUGUCACCCUGGCAGCACUCUGCUUGGGCCCAUGGUUGUAAACACCUUUAUAAAUAUUUAAAUCAUGAUUUGGCAGACGCCAUGAUAUUAAAAGAUGGAAUGUGUUCGCUGAAGCUUAAUGGCGCAUGUACCACUGUAAGCUUUUAUAGAGAUUCUUACUACAGAACUGCAAGCAUGUUACUAAGCUGUAGGUCCAAUGGUGAUGAGGACAUUUUCGUUUGGAAACAGUGUAUCCAAGUAGGAGAAGAAGUUGAAAAUGCUGGGGUCUGCAUAACAUUUGCUAAUGGUUUGCUAAUGAGGGCUUGGUAUGGGCAUAGAUUCCACAGGGAAGGAAUAGCCUAGACAUGCAGUAUAUAUAUACAUCGAUUGUAAACUUUCAAGGAUUUCUUUAGUGGAAGCAUAUUUAUGACUCUACAGUCGCCAUUAAAAUUAAUCCCUUAGAGCCGUUUUACAGGUACAAACUUUUUUUUAAAGGUGUCAAUCCUUAUGCUACAGUACAGCACCAGUAAACACUGCAGCUGAUAUUGAAAGAAAAGGUGAAUGUAAUAUUAUAUUGUAAGUACGAUGCAUACUUUUUAAUUAAUAAAAUACUUAUUUAUGUCGGA